GAUCAAGAUAUUUUAGACCCUUUUUGUGAUCCAGGCAACCCCCAAAAAGUGAUCUUCAAGGAUGUUGAGGCAGCUUCCGAUGUAAUCAAGGAUGACCUCCUGAGUCCUUGCGUUAAAUCUAGAAUGUCUAAAAUACUGAACGUAAAAGAGGUUUACUUCAAGAAGGAAUUUCAACAGCGUACAGGGAGUUUCAAAGAAAGAGGAGCAAGAUAUUCUUUAAUGAAGCU